rnacentral:rRNA from 1 species
AUUGAACGCUGGCGGCGGGCCUAACACAUGCAAGUCGAACGAGUGGCGGACGGGUGAGUAAUGCCUGGGAAUCUAGCUUAUGGAGGGGGAUAACUACGGGAAACUGUAGCUAAUACCGCGUACCAUAGGAUGAGCCCAAGUGGGAUUAUGUAGUUGGUGGGGUAAAGGCUCACCAAGCCGACGAUCUCUAGCUGGUCUGAGAGGAUGACCAGCCACACUGGGACUGAGACACGGCCCAGACUCCUACGGGAGGCAGCAGUGGGGAAUAUUGCGCAAUGGGGGCAACCUGACGCAGCCAUGCCGCGUGAAUGAAGAAGGCCUUCGGGUUGUAAAGUUCUUUCGGUGGCGAGGCGUUAACGACAGAAGAAGCACCGGCUAACUCCGUGCCAGCAGCCGCGGUAAUUC